UACGGGGGGAGCAAGCGUUGUUCGGAUUUACUGGGCGUAAAGGGCGCGUAGGCGGCCACUGCAAGUCAGUUGUGAAAUCUCCGGGCUUAACCCGGAAAGGUCAACUGAUACUGCAGGGCUAGAGUGCAGAAGGGGCAACUGGAAUUCUCGGUGUAGCGGUGAAAUGCGUAGAUAUCGAGAGGAACACCUGCGGCGAAGGCGGCCCACUGGACAGAUACUGACGCUGAGACUCGAAAGCGUGGGGAGCAAACAGG
rnacentral:rRNA from 1 species